rnacentral:rRNA from 1 species
GACGAACGCUGGCGGCGUGCCUAAUACAUGCAAGUCGAACGAGAGCGACCGGUGCUUGCACUGGUCAAUCUAGUGGCGAACGGGUGAGUAACACGUGGGUAACCUGCUCAUCAGAGGGGGAUAACAUCCGGAAACGGAUGCUAAAACCGCAUAGGUCUUCGAGCCGCAUGGCUUGAAGAGGAAAAGAGGCGCAAGCUUCUGCUGAUGGAUGGACCCGCGGUGCAUUAGCUAGUUGGUGAGGUAACGGCUCACCAAGGCCGUGAUGCAUAGCCGACCUGAGAGGGUGAUCGGCCACAUUGGGACUGAGACACGGCCCAAACUCCUACGGGAGGCAGCAGUAGGGAAUCUUCCGCAAUGGACACAAGUCUGACGGAGCAACGCCGCGUGAGUGAAGAAGGUUUUCGGAUCGUAAAACUCUGUUGUUAGAGAAGAACAAGUGCUAGAGUAACUGUUAGCGCCUUGACGGUAUCUAACCAGAAAGCCACGGCUAACUACGUG